AUGCUGCAGCCCCCAUCCCCUGCCCACCUCUGCCCCGUGUCCCCAGCAGGGCCAGCCGGUUGUGGGGCGCACAGCCAGCACCCCAUGGGACACAUCCCCGGGACACAUCCCGCACCCUUCACGGCACAGACCCCUCUCCACCGCUUUGCCCUUUCCAUCCCCACCCCUCCCCACGCAGCCCACCCUGGGGUGCCCACGAGGGGGGGGUGUCCCGGUGCGUCCACGGUGCGCACGGAGGGGUCCCCGCUGCGGGUGGGGAAGCGUUGCCGAGACGGUGCCGGUGCACAACGGGGCUGGUGUGCACCGUGUGUGUGUGCGUGUGCCCGUGAGCCCCCCGGGGCAGCGGCUCUACGUGUGCGAGCGUGUGUGUGUGUGUGCGUGCGGCGCCGGGAGCCCCGCGGGGCCGGCAGCUCGGGGCACCGCCGCCCUCUAUCCCGAGCCACCGGCACCGGUACCGGGCAGCCGGCGGGGGUAGGCGGCCGGGAAAAGGUUGGGGAGGGGGGGAAAAACCGAGGAGGGACCGGGGAGGCAGCGGGGGGUGAGGGAGAGGGAACGGGGCUGGGUGCGGGGACCGGGGGCUCCAGCGCGGUGCGGGGAGCGGGGGGAGGCGGCUUGGCACGGCUCGGCACGGCUCGGAGAAGCGGGGAACCGGAGGGGACAGAUCGGAGCCGGGAAAGCAGGUCCGGGGUGGGGAAAGGUGGGGGGCACAGCCCGAUUCGGGGAAAGCAACGUGGGGUGGGGGGCACAGGGACACGGCUCCCUGGGGGGAGGCGCAACGCGGUUUNNNNNNNNNNNNNNNNNNNNNNNNNNNNNNNNNNNNNNNNNNNNNNNNNNNNNNNNNNNNNNNNNNNNNNNNAGGGGGGUCUGGGGGGGGGGGAGAAGUGGGGGGUGGGGGGGGGACGGGGACACUCAGCCUGCUCGGGGAGGGAGGAUUUGGGGUGGGGAACGGGGACGGAGACAUCGCCACCCGCUCCGUGCGCGCCGCUCACCUCUCUCCGCGCAGGGCGGCGGCUCCAUGGCGGCCCCGCGGGCGGCGGAGCUGCGGAGCCCGGUCGAGACGGCGGCGACAGCGGGGAACGGAGGCGGCGGAGGGGGUCCGGGGGGGUUCGGCCCGGCCCCGGGCCCGGGGCUGGCUCUGGCUUUGGGCUGUGCGCUGAGCGGCGCGGCUCUGGUGGUGCUGGCGGGGGCCGUGCCGCGGGCGGCGCGCCCCGACCCGGCCGUACCGGCGAGGCAGAUGGAGAGGCUGGAGGCACGGGCGGCUCGGCUCCGAGCACGCCUCGAUCGCUGCACCGUGGCCGGCUUGGCGUUGCUGGCCCUGGGAGGGCUCCUGCUCGCCGCCCUCCUGCUGGCCGCCGCCGCCGCUCGCCGCCGAGCCCGAGCCGCUCGCCGCGCCGGGGGCACCUACGGCUCGGUGCGCCUGAGGAUGCGCAGGGUGUCGGCCGAGGGGGCUCAGGCACUGCUGGAGAGCCAGCUCAGCCCCCCGCCCCAGCCCCCCGAGGGGCCGGGCUCGUAGCCCCGCGCCUCCCCGGGGCCCCCCGAGCCGCCGGCAGAAGCGGGGCUCCCCCCGCAGCGCCCCGGUCCCCGUGCUGUCACAGCCCGGUGAGGCUUCGGGCACCCUCCUGGCCACCUCGACCCCUUCUGGGGUGGGGGUCCCGGCCGGCAGCAGCGGGGUGA
rnacentral:lncRNA from 1 species